rnacentral:misc_RNA from 1 species
GAUGAAGAACGUAGCGAAAUGCGAUAAGUAAGGUGAAUUGCAGAAUUCAGUGAAUCAUCGAAUCUUUGAACGCACAUUGCGCCCGCCAGCAUUCUGGCGGGCAUGCCUGUUCGAGCGUCAUUUCAACCCUCAAGCUCUGCUUGGCGUUGGGGCCCUACGGUUGACGUAGGCCCUUAAAGGUAGUGGCGGACCCUCUCGGAGCCUCCUUUGCGUAGUAACUAACGUCUCGCAUUGGGAUUCGGAGGGACUCUUGCCGUAAAACCCCCAAAUUUUCUAAUGGUUGACCUCGGAUCAGGUAGGAAUACCCGCUGAACUUAAGCAUAUCAAUAAGCGGAGGA